UGUCUCUUAGCUCAGUUGGUAGAGCGCCAGUUUGACGUGCUGGAGGUCACAGGUUCGAGUCCUGUAGAGGCUA